CUUUAAACCUUAAAGUGAUAGCCUUCUCCCUUCCUAGCCAUAGAAGAGUAUAUGCUUGUUUAUUGGCAAAACUGUCACCAUUUAAUUGGUAUCAGAUUCUGACUGGCACAAGUAACAUUC
rnacentral:snoRNA from 1 species